rnacentral:lncRNA from 1 species
CAGCGGUGGGCUGAAGGGCUCCUCAAGUGCCGCCAAAGUGGGAGCCCAGGCAGAGGAGGCGCAGAGAGCGAGGGAGGGCUGUGAGGACUGCCAGCAUGCUGUUACCUCUCAAUAAGAUUAACUGUCCUCUUCCAUGUUCAAACCAUAUGUAAUUGUAAUUGAAUGGAAGUUAAACAUCUGGAAACCGUUAGGAUUGAAUAGCAAUGAAAGGCAGGAAGCACAAGACUAUGGAAAGUGAUUUUGAACAACCAGGGGCCUAGCAUGAUGUCUUCCAUAUGCAGGUGUUCAAUAAGUGCUGAUUUUAUUCCAGGAGCAGAGGCAAUUAAGCUAGGGUUGCAAUAGUUAGGGAGCCAGGAGAUCCACGUGGUCAAAGUAGCAGCUGCUUUCACGAAGCGGCAGUAAUGCGUGCCGCUCGAAUUUGGAUGCAAGGUCCUGGUAACUGAGGAAUGGGCUGUUGCUGGAAGAUAGAGCAGAGAGCAGCCAGUUAUCUUGCGGAGGGGUGAGGAAGGAAAGAGAACUUGAGCUGGGAAGCCAGCAACAGUGGAAAGCUCCCCAAGUGAAGCUUGAGCUCCUCUCUCAGCAAUCCUCCUGGCCUUGAGGAGACAGUAAAUCUCACUCCAUCCUGUGGUUAUACCACUGAAGCAUCUUUAAAAACACUUAGUCCCAAACAAUGGGCCCUUUCCUGCUGCUUUUCUUACCUGAGCCAGCAACCUCAGAGCUUUCUGGGAUUUCUGUUAAAAACGCCGAGAUCCCAGGACUCCUUCUCUAUCAACACAACUGUCACUCACGCCAAGCAUGGGACAUAUGGCCGAGCAUCUGGGAGGGAGAAGAUGGGCCAGGAGUGCUGGCAAGCGGCACAUGCUUUCAUUAUAAUGGAUGUGUCACAGUAAAUCAUUUUGUAAAUGUCCCCUCCCCCUGUGCUGCAUAGCAAAACAUAAAGGAAGACGAAUUACCCACAGCACCACAAUGCUGGUUGAAUAUGCCAAAACUUGUGCCUGAGACACUUAGUGACAUUUCCUUAAAUAUCUUUUUAAUAUCUUGGCCAGGUUGGGCAUACCAAUGGCAUUACAGAGCUUGCAAAUCAAUACCCCAGCUGUUUUGGUUUUUUAAUAAAACUGAAUGUGAUCUAUUUUAAAUGAUUGCCUUCCACCCCUCUAAUUUUCUACAGGGCUUUCAGAGAGCAAGAC